rnacentral:rRNA from 1 species
UACGUAUGGUGCAAGCGUUAUCCGGAUUUACUGGGCGUAAAGGGAGCGCAGGCGGCGCGCCAAGUCUGAUGUGAAACCCCGGGGCUCAACCCCGGGCAUGCAUUGGAAACUGGCGGGCUGGAGUGCCGGAGAGGUAAGCGGAAUUCCUAGUGUAGCGGUGAAAUGCGUAGAUAUUAGGAGGAACACCAGUGGCGAAGGCGGCUUACUGGACGACAACUGACGCUGAGGCUCGAAAGCGUGGGGAGCAAACAGG